AUACGGAGGAUCCGAGCGUUAUCCGGAUUUAUUGGGUUUAAAGGGUGCGCAGGCGGCCAUUUAAGUCAGCGGUUAAAUCGUGGGUCUCAACCCCAUUCUGCCGUUGAUACUGGGUGGCUUGAUUGCGGUCGAGGUUGGCGGAAUUCGUUGUGUAGCGGUGAAAUGCAUAGAUAUGACGAAGAACACCGAUUGCGUAGGCAGCUGACCAGACCGCAAAUGACGCUCAUGCACGAAAGUGCGGGGAUCGAACAGGAUUAGAUACCCUGGUAGUCCGCACAGUAAACGAUGAAUACUUGUUUUCGGCGAUAUAAUGUCGGAGGCAAAGCGAAAGCGAUAAGUAUUCCACCUGGGGAGUACGCCGGCAACGGUGAAACUCAAAUGAAUUGACGGGG
rnacentral:rRNA from 1 species